UAAAAAAAAUUGAAGAUUUUUUCAACUUUGAAGGCUCACAAUUCUAGAAAUAUUAUUGUUCUUCAAGGCUGAUACUAAAAAAGUUGAAUGUAGUAAUUGUUUUGCUUUAAUUCAGACGAUUGAAGUUGCUGAGGUAUCCUAACUCAAAUUGACAAAACUUGAUAAUUAGUUCAAAAUUUUGCUUAUAAAUGUUGAAAUCAGUUAGGUUUGAACCGUUGAUAAAAUAAAAUAACCAAAAAUAGUAUUUUUCGAAUCCAACCACAAUCUUUUAUUGGAAUUUAGUAAACCAAAGUUGCAAUGGUUUUAUUGGGGUUAAUUGUUCUAAAUUAGAAAUUUAUAUGGUACACCUUGUUAGAUUCAAAUCAUGACGAUGAGGUGCACUGCCAUAAACUACCAAUCAGACCUUUUGAAAGGGGAAAAAUAUUAUUUUUGCUCGUUUCACAUAGAGCAUGACUGUGCAUUCAAUAACAAGUUCAAGAAUAAUACACACUGCAGUCUAUUAAACACAAAGAAACCUCAUAGCACAAUCAACUAGUGGCCUUACAACAUAAUCCGAAUCAAAUGGGAUUUUAAUUUAGUUCUUUAAUGUGUUUAACAUUGAAAUUUGAGUUCUACCAGUAUAAACCUUCGACAGCUUGGCAACAGUGACGUCACGAAAAAAAUCCAAUAUGGCUCUCGGCACUAUAUCUCAGAAUCAAAACAACCCAAAAUUAAGAACGCCACCGCAUCAAAACAAAGUUAAGUUGACGUUCUUAAUUUUGGGCUGCGGUCAACACCCCAAAAUAAAAGUUCGCUGCUUGAACUGCCUGCCCCAAAAUAUUUUUUGUUUACUUUCAUGGUAUCGAACGGAUCGCAUGGCAGAUUUUUUGUUAAAUUUUGUGGAAACAAGAACAUCAAGGUGAAAACGUCGUCAACAAAAACGUUUAAUUUCAAGCGGAAUGACAUCCGGAUCUGCCUCCGUAUGGUUGAAAUUCAUUGAAGAGCUAUCCACACGAGUAACCAAAGAGAACAAGCCUAUGGCCAUUCAGUUCGCUUACAUAUUGGAACCAGUCUGGGCUGCGGAUGAAAAUAUUGAUGAAUUGAUUCCAAUCACACCGGAAUGCGAAACGGAUCUCUAUUUGGCAAUGGUAGGAAGCUUCCUUCAAGACCAAUUGCAACUGGGAGCCUGACUAUUAUUUUAUAAUAUUCUUUUAAAAUUUCGGUGCCGGAACUUCUUUAAGAAAUGGACCCGUGUGAAUUCUGGAUCACAGAAGAUUAUCAUAAUCGAUACGUGUUGAAAGUGUAUAGUUCUAAAGUUUUUCAGAGUGACCGACCUACCGUACCGAUAGGCUCUGGUUAUGGUAAAUACGCUGAUGAACAGGAAAACAUGCCCAAUAUAAAGUAAGCAAAACCAGUUUCUAAACCGUUUGGUAAUUUCUCGGUUGCCACUUUUGCUUUGUAAAUAUAUGAAUUGGAGAUCAUCUUCCGGCAGCAUCCAUCAGGCUAAGUAAAUAGCUAAGUUCUAAGAACUUAGAAACUCAAGGAUUACAAAGAGUUGUUUAUUACUGAU